UUCCGGUUGAUCCUGCCAGAGGCUACUGCUAUCGGGGUUCGAUUAAGCCAUGCGAGUUAAAUGUUCUUCGUGAACAUAGCGAACUGCUCAGUAACACGUGGAUAACCUACCCUUAGGACCGGAAUAACCCCGGGAAACUGGGGAUAAUACCGGAUAAGCCAUAGGCGCUGGAAUGCCCUAUGGUUCAAAGCUCCGGCGCCUAAGGAUGGAUCUGCGGUCUAUCAGGUUGUAGUGGGUGUAACGUACCUACUAGCCGACGACGGAUACGGGUUGUGAGAGCAAGAGCCCGGAGAUGGAUUCUGAGACACGAAUCCAGGCCCUACGGGGUGCAGCAGGCGCGAACACUUUACAAAUGCGGGAAACCGCGAUAAGGGAACCCCGAGUGCCAGCAUCAAAUGUUGGCUGUCCAGAUGAUUAAAAAUCAUUUGUUAGCAAGGGCCGGGCAAGACCGGUGCCAGCCGCCGCGGUAACACCGGCGGCCCGAGUGGUAGCCGUUUUUAUUGGGUCUAAAGGGUCCGUAGCCGGCCUGAUAAGUCCUUUGGGAAAUCUGGCAGCUUAACUGUCAGGCUUCUAAGGGAUACUGUCAGGCUUGGGACCGGAAGAGGUAAGGGGUACUCCAGGGGUAGGAGUGAAAUCUUGUAAUCCCUGGGGGACCAUCUGUGGCGAAGGCGCCUUACCAGAACGGGUCCGACGGUGAGGGACGAAAGCUAGGGGAGCAAACCGGAUUAGAUACCCGGGUAGUCCUAGCUGUAAACGAUGCUCGCUAGGUGUCAGACACGGUGCGACCGUGUUUGGUGCCGCAGGGAAGCCGUUAAGCGAGCCACCUGGGAAGUACGGUCGCAAGGCUGAAACUUAAAGGAAUUGGCGGGGGAGCACUACAACGGGUGGAGCUGCGGUUUAAUUGGAUUCAACGCCGGG
rnacentral:rRNA from 1 species